rnacentral:lncRNA from 1 species
UAAAAAUAAUUUGAUUAAAAUUUAAAAUUUAAAAUUUAAAUUUAAAUUCAAGAGUUCAAAUUUAAAUAAAAAUAAAUUUUUAAAUUUUAAAUAUAAAUAUAAAGUCAUAAAUUUGAAUUUUAAAUUUUAUUUUAAAUUUUAAUUUACAAAUAAAAUUCAAAAUAUGAUCAUAAUUUUAAUUCAAAUUUAAAGUGAAAUUGAACUUUAAAAAUAAAUUUAAGUAUUAAAGAUAAGACCAAAUAUUACCUUUUAGAUAAGCUCUCCACUUUCGGUGACUUACGUAUUUUUUUAGCCUAAGUCUAAAAAGUGAGAUUUAGUUAUAACUCAAUUUAUCCGUCUACUUUCGUAAAGUGACUUUCACAUUCACUUUUGUAAACCAAAUAACCGAUAAAACGUCACUUUCUAAAAGUACCAUUUUUGAUGUUACACUUUCGGCGAACCAAACAUGCCCUAAAAUGUACCCAAAUUCUAGUAUAUUUAGAAUUUCUACUCUAAUAAAUAUUUAAAUCUAUAUUUAGUUUAUCUUCAAUAAAUUUAAAUAUUUAUCCUAAUCUAGUUGAAUUUAUACUCUAAUUAAUAUUUAAAUCUUAAUUUAUCUUCAACAGGUUUAAAUAUUAAUUCUUAUCCAACUAGAAUUAAUCUACAAAUCUAAUCAAAUCCUAAAAAAUUAAACCACUCCUUACUUUCUCCUCUUCUAAGUACAACCCUAGCAACUACUCCAGCAACUAGAAGCAUCAACAGGCUUAGAAUUUUCGAAAAUUCCUUGCCUCAACUUGUGCUGGUUCCUGGUGCAGCCGCUGUCCAAUGCUGCUAGAUUCGGGUUGGGGUUUUCGGGUUCGGGUUCGGAUUUCGGAUUUUUGGUCGGGUUCGGAUUUGGAUAUGAAUUGUUAAAAUCCGUCGGAUUCGGAUUCGGAUUUCGAAUUUAGAGUCGGGUUCGGGUUUUUAAAAACCCGCCCCGAAUGGGACCCAUUGACAUCCCUAGUCACAUUUCAAAAUUAUUUGGAAUUAAAAAGAGGUAAAACAUGCGCUUAACUCUCCUAAACUCUUGGAUCUAGCCACCACCCAAAAUGUUUAAGCCGUCUUAAAAGUUUAGCCAUUUUAUAUCAUAUAUAUAGAACUAUUUUGGAUCUCACAUAAAAAGUGCAGGUACUUUCAACUGCAGUUACACACACAAUAGACACACUCCCUGAGAAACCAAACAUACAA